rnacentral:rRNA from 1 species
GAUGAACGCUGGCGGCGUGCCUAAUACAUGCAAGUCGAGCGAACGGAUAAGGAGCUUGCUCCUUUGACGUUAGCGGCGGACGGGUGAGUAACACGUGGAUAACCUACCUAUAAGACUGGGAUAACUUCGGGAAACCGGAGCUAAUACCGGAUAACAUAUUGAACCGCAUGGUUCAAUAGUGAAAGGCGGCUUUGCUGUCACUUAUAGAUGGAUCCGCGCCGUAUUAGCUAGUUGGUAAGGUAACGGCUUACCAAGGCAACGAUACGUAGCCGACCUGAGAGGGUGAUCGGCCACACUGGAACUGAGACACGGUCCAGACUCCUACGGGAGGCAGCAGUAGGGAAUCUUCCGCAAUGGGCGAAAGCCUGACGGAGCAACGCCGCGUGAGUGAUGAAGGUCUUCGGAUCGUAAAACUCUGUUAUCAGGGAAGAACAAAUGUGUAAGUAACUGUGCACAUCUUGACGGUACCUGAUCAGAAAGCCACGGCUAACUACGUG